UACGGGGGGCAAGCGUUGUUCGGAAUUACUGGGCGUAAAGGGCUCGUAGGCGGCCAACUAAGUCAGACGUGAAAUCCCUCGGCUUAACCGGGGAACUGCGUCUGAUACUGGAAGGCUUGAGGAUGGGAGAGGGAUGUAGAAUUCCAGGUGUAGCGGUGAAAUGCGUAGAUAUCUGGAGGAAUACCGGUGGCGAAGGCGGCAUCCUGGACCAUUACUGACGCUGAGGCGCGAAAGCUA
rnacentral:rRNA from 1 species